CUGCCAUUCAUUUCCUUUCCUCUUACCCCUUCCCUCUCUGAUUCAUCAUUUAGCCAAGCACAUGCCUCUCCAGAGCCAGCUGUCUGCUGCUUCAGGAAGAACAUAAGCACCCUUUCCCCUCCAACACACUUUGUAUUAACUAGUCCUUGGAAAUUUGACUUGAAAUCUUGGCAGCUGCCGAAGCCUGAAACUCUGCCUACUCUGCCAAGACAAGGACUUUCUUCUUUACAACCAGCGCUCCAGAUAACCUCGGGGAACCAGCACUUCCCAGACCGCAGACUACAUCUUUAGAGGAAGCACAACUGUGCCUUUUUCUGAAAAUCCCUUUUUCUGGUGGAAUUGAGAAAGAAAUAAAACUAUCCAGAUAUGCGUUCCA
rnacentral:sRNA from 1 species